rnacentral:rRNA from 1 species
AUGAUAACAUUGGUUGUUCAAUCCAGAAAAAGAAAAAGAAGAGAAGCAAUUACGUAUGCCCCAAUUGAUGAGAGAGAUAGGAUGAGAAGAGAGUAUUUUGACAACAAAAUAUGGAAGAAUGACACAACUUGUGUGAACAUGCUUAGGCUUCGGAGAGAAUCUUUCUUUAGGUUUUGUCAACUGUUUAGGAAUCGCAACUUGCUAAAUGACACAAUACACUUGACUGUUGAGCAACAACUAGCAAUGUUUCUGCACACUGUUGGGCACAACAUUAGAAAUAGGGUAAUUGGCGCCAAUUUUGGUAGAUCCGGUGAAGUUGUGAGCCGUUACUUCAAAAGGGUAUUCCAUGCCAUUGGUGAGCUUCGAGAUGACCUUAUUAGGAAGUCUUCAUUGGAGACCCAAACCAAAAUAGAAGGAAACUACCGGUGGGAUCCAUACUUUAAGGUAUGUGAGACGGAGUGA